rnacentral:rRNA from 1 species
UGGGUAGUCCGCACGAGCGCACCUUGCCCUAUGUUGCCAGCGAGUAUGUCGGGGACUCAUGGGGGACUGCCGGUGAUAAACCGGAGGAAGGUGGGGACGACGUCAAGUCAUCAUGGCCCUUACGCCUGGGGCUACACACGUGCUACAAUGGCCAACACAAAGGGCUGCCGACCUGCGAAGGUGAGCGAAUCCCAAAAAGUUGGUCUAAGUUCGGAUUGCAGUCUGCAACUCGACUGCAUGAAGUCGGAAUCGCUAGUAAUCGUAGAUCAGCCACGCUACGGUGAAUACGUUCCCGGGCCUUGUACACACCGCCCGUCACGCCAUGGAAGCCGGGAGUGCCCGAAGUCCGUAUCCUAACCCUCGGGAAGGAGCGGCCGAAGGCAAAUUCGGUAACUGGGGCGAAGUCGUAACAAGGUAGCCGUAGGGGAACCUGCGGCUGGAUCACCUCCUUUCU